rnacentral:rRNA from 1 species
UACGGGAGGAGCAGUGGGGAAUAUUGCACAAUGGGCGCAAGCCUGAUGCAGCCAUGCCGCGUGUAUGAAAAAGGCCUUCGGGUUGUAAAGUACUUUCAGUCGUGAGGAAGGUGUUAAGGUUAAUAACCUUAGCAAUUGACGUUAGCGACAGAAGAAGCACCGGCUAACUCCGUGCCAGCAGCCGCGGUAAUACGGAGGGUGCGAGCGUUAAUCGGAAUUACUGGGCGUAAAGGGCACGCAGGCGGUUAAUUAAGUUGGAUGUGAAAUCCCCGGGCUUAACCUGGGAAUGGCAUUCAAGACUGGUUAGCUAGAGUCUUGUAGAGGGGGGUAGAAUUCCAUGUGUAGCGGUGAAAUGCGUAGAGAUGUGGAGGAAUACCGGUGGCGAAAGGCGGCCCCCUGGACAAAGACUGACGCUCAUGUGCGAAAGCGUGGGGAGCAAACAGGGAUUAGAACC